rnacentral:rRNA from 1 species
AUACGUAGGUGGCGAGCGUUGUCCGGAAUUAUUGGGCGUAAAGAGCAUGUAGGCGGCUUAAUAAGUCGAGCGUGAAAAUGCGGGGCUCGACCCCGUAUGGCGCUGGAAACUGUUAGGCUUGAGUGCAGGAGAGGAAAGGGGAAUUCCCAGUGUAGCGGUGAAAUGCGUAGAUAUUGGGAGGAACACCAGUGGCGAAGGCGCCUUUCUGGACUGUGUCUGACGCUGAGAUGCGAAAGCCAGGGUAGCGAACGGGAUUAGAUACCCCGGUAGUCCUGGCCGUAAACGAUGGGUACUAGGUGUAGGAGGUAUCGACCCCUUCUGUGCCGGAGUUAACGCAAUAAGUACCCCGCCUGGGGAGUACGGCCGCAAGGUUGAAACUUAAAGGAAUUGGCGGGG